GUGUUAGAUCAGUUGGUUUGAGUGUGAUGUUGAUAAUGCCAAGGCUGUAGGUUCGAUCCCUGUAUGAGACA